UUUAUUUAAGCAAGUUUAAAAUUUUGAAUUUUAAUUCUAAUUUAUUUUAGUAAAUAAAU
rnacentral:tRNA from 2 species